UUGACGCAAAUGCGAUCCCCAGACUACAGCACAAGGCCCGCAGGCACCACAACAACGUGAAAACGUCCACCACGUAAGCCAGCACGUGCCACAGGAGCGUGAAGACGUCUAUCACGUAAGCCCACCCCUCCCCAGGCUGCAAUGACGUGAAGACAAAAACGUGGAGACGUCAACAACGUGAGACGUCAACAACGUGAAGACGUCAACACGUGAAGACGUCAACACGUGAGACAUCAACAUGUGAGGCCCACAUGCCGUCGUGAGGCUGCCGCGUUUGUCCAGACCCCCCUGGUAAGGACACCUUCCUGGUGCUGGGCACACCUGAUGGGACGGCCUAACGUGGAGGAGCAGAGAAUCCAGCGGGGAAGUCAGGUGCCCAGGCCUGGCUGCCUGCCGCGAGGAUCCGGGCACAGGCUGCUUCCUGAGGGUCGGCACUCGGGGGACAGGGCUCGCCUCAGCCCUCUCCCUCCCCACCCCUGGCUUUCCCGAGGGACACGCGCUGGGCUGUAACGCACACUGGUCUUAAGUCCUCUCCCACCCGGAGGCCGUGAGGACAACUGAAAAACCAGCGGGGCGACGGUUGGAUUGUCGCUUCGCAGACUCCAGGCCCUUCCUUUGCCCGACGGACUCGAGAAACACAAAAAUAUAACCCGACACGUCAGGAGAGUCGCCCACGUCUCCCCCGAACCUUAGUGGCUCCUCGUGUCACCCUCACAGAAGCCCCUUCGUGACCGUGACCGUGGUGGUGAGAAGUUGCUUGGAUCCGCCCCUGAGCAGCCAUUUGAUUUGGGCCAAGGCACUGGCCUGGUGAGCCAGCUUCCUUGACUGCAAACGGAGAGCUUUCUUCCCUCAAGGAGAUGAUAGCCAGCUGCUCUCCGGGCACCAUCGGGGCUGGUGGGCUUGGGGUCGGGCGGAAGCUGUCUGCUUCUUGAGAUGAGCAGACACUGAACCAAAAAUCCAUCCCAGGUUCAGCCUGCGAUGGCUCCAAGGCUGACACCUUUACUCUCUCCCUCUCUCUUUUUAAAAGAGCCCCUUUAAUAAGCUCUUUUUUUUUGUUUUUGUUUUUUGCCACACCUAGAGGUACCCACGAUCUUAGUUACCUAAUCAGGGAUCGAACCUAUGCUCCUGCAGUGGGAAGUGCGGAUUCUUAACCUCUGGCCCGCUAGGGAAGUCCCCUAAGCUCUCUCUUUAAAGCAAUCAGUUGUGCUAGGAAUGCAUUUCUGGACGACCCGUUUACAACAAUCUUGUAAUAGACUGUUUCCUUUGAGGUACCAUGCCUGGAAAUACUUUCCUCUUGCUAAAUUGUAUAUUCUGGUACCAGUUUAUAUUCUUAACAAUAGCAUACCUAUUUCCCCACACAGUACUGGCGAUUAUCAAUCUUUAAAAACUGUGUGAAUGUAGUUCUUAUAAUUGUAUUUUCUCUGAUUAGUUAGGUUGAGGACAUAUUCAUGUUUUUUUCUGGGUAUUAUCUGCUUCUAUCCCUUGACCAUUCUAUUCUUCCUUAUUAAUAGGAAUUUUUAAAGGCACAUUAUGGUUAUUGGCUUUUUGUCUGUUUCCAUGUUGUAAAUAUGUAUCUUCUCCCUAUCUGCUUCAUGCCUUUAAGGACACAAAACAUUGUUUUGUGACUUUUUUUAGGACAUCUUUGUUUAGGUCAUCUUUUACCAUAUAAAAUACUCUAACUUAUGCAAUUUCUCCUUGUUAGAAUUUAUGUAGAUUUUGUUUCCCAGUGUAUGGUCAAAUUAUAUAUAUAUAUUCUUUUACUUUUUAAAUAUACAUUGUCAAAUUAUAAAAGGGUUAUAUGUUUGAAAAUAAUAUAUCUUUAUUUUUGUUAUAAAGUUCUACUUGUAUUUCUUAGGUCAAACUUGUUAAAGUGUUACUCAGAUGGUCAGCUU